CGAUACCUCUUGAUGCUUCUA
rnacentral:siRNA from 1 species